CCUACGGGAGGCAGCAGUGGGGAAUAUUGGACAAUGGGCGCAAGCCUGAUCCAGCAAUGCCGCGUGGGUGAAGAAGGCCUGCGGGUUGUAAACCCCUGUCAGGUGGGAAGAAGGCCCUGCUGGACAAUACCCAGCAGGGCUUGACGGUACCGCCAAAGGAAGCCCCGGCUAACUCCGUGCCAGCAGCCGCGGUAAUACGGAGGGGGCAAGCGUUAUUCGGAUUUACUGGGCGUAAAGCGCACGUAGGCGGCAAGAUAAGUCAAAGGUGAAAGCCCUCGGCUCAACCGAGGAACCGCCUUUGAAACUGCCCUGCUUGAGUCCGGGAGGGGGGAGCGGAAUUCCCAGUGUAGCGGUGAAAUGCGUAGAUACUGGGAGGAACACCGGUGGCGAAGGCGGCUCCCUGGACCGGUACUGACGCUGAGGUGCGAAAGCGUGGGUAGCAAACAGGAUUAGAUACCCUGGUAGUCCACGCCGUAAACGAUGAGUGCUAAGUGUUAGAGGGUUUCCGCCCUUUAGUGCUGCAGCAAACGCAUUAAGCACUCCGCCUGGGGAGUACGGCCGCAAGGCUGAAACUCAAAGGAAUUGACGG
rnacentral:rRNA from 1 species